GAUGAACGCUGGCGGCGUGCUUAACACAUGCAAGUCGAACGAAGCACUUUUUUUGAUUUCCUUCGGGCCUGUUUCUUUUGUGACUGAGUGGCGGACGGGUGCGUAACGCGUGGGUAAGCUGCCUUGUACAGGGUGAUAACAGUUGGAAACGGCUGCUACUACUGCAUAAGCGCGCGGCAUCGCAUGCUGCAGUGUGAAAAGGUCGGUGGGUAUAAGAUGGAGCCGCGUUGGAUUUGCUAGUUGGUGAGGUAACGGCACACCAGGGCUACGAUCCAUACCCGAGCGGGGAGGCUGACCGGCCAGAUCGGGACUGAGACACGGACCAAACUCGGACGGGGGGCAGCAGUAGGGAAUAUUGCACAAUGAAGGAAAACCUGAUGCAGCGACGCCGGGGAUGCGAACAAUUAGUUCGGUAUGCAAAGCUCUAUCAGCAGAGAAGAUAAUGACGGUAACGGGCAAAGAAGCACCGGCUAAAUACGUG
rnacentral:rRNA from 1 species